GGCUGCAAUUACGUCAUGUCCGGUCGGAGGCAAGAUGGCGCUGCCCACAGCGUGCACGAGGUGUUGAAACAUUCUACAGAACUGAAAAUAGUCAUCAAGUGGCAGUGAGCAGCAGAAAACAACAAGACACAACAAGACACAACAGGGAAAGAUAGGAGCAUUAAACCUGUACCCAGGGUACCCAACUUCCACAAAGCUCACUGGUGCUUUGCCAUUUACUGUAUGAGUACUGAGAAACUUACCAAACGCUGCUCGUCGAUGGCGCCCAGUUUCUAGGGAAACCGUACAACAUUUUUCGAUCCUGUUCAAUGUUUGCAAAUGCCACCGAGAGAAAAAACACGGAUACCAAAGAGUUAGACAAGAUGUUAUCAGUAAAUGAACCAGGUUUGGGAACUUCGCUCGGCGUUUUACGUUUAUAAGAGGAUCGGCCAACGUAGAGAUGAUCAUCAAAGCCGAGUGAGUCAUCAGAAGCGACCGUGCGAACGUGGCCGUGCAUAAAGAUCACCACGAGGAUAUGUCCUGUUGGCUCCAACAAGAGGCAUGGCUCACGCGGAGCCGUCCUUCUGUGAUAGUCCAUUGGACUUGGAAGGAUUAGUUUGUAACAGAUAGCGGACGUCAGGCGAAAUCCAGAGCAUGGCACAUGCGUAUUUCCAUCACAUGAAUGAAAAAGCACGCGAUUAAAAUAUUUUACUUAUUCAUAUCUAUGAAAGAAUGAAGAAUUCUUACAACGGUUUAUACAUAAAUUAAUUAAAACCAAUAUAUAGAAUGGAAAAUAAUUGAGCUUCGGCUUAUUUGUCCCUUCCUGCUGUAAAAGUCUAUGUAUAGUACACGUGGCAUUGAACAAUGAAUUACAUGUAGAUGACAUCGGACCUCGACGUCUGUGUCGUACACACUGCCAAGUUAAUCUAAUAUACUUUGCAUGUACGUGAUCUUUAUGUCUUCGAUUCCUCCUUCAUGAUCCAAUCUAAAGGUCGUUGAUAAGCAGACAUCAACGUUUAUACCAUCAGAGCUUUCGCAGCGCAUUCUAUGUACUCUACAUUCACUGGGCAAAAACCAACCACGCCCAUCCAACUUAAAAUUUACCCCUCUCAAAUUAAGUCUCUGUCCUCUAGUAGUUGACUCUUUCACUCAGAAAGAAACGUGUUCUGACUAUCUACCCUGCAUAUUGUAUCAACGUAAAACAUGCUUCAGUAAUGAUUUUUGAAAUUACAGCGGGAUCAAAUGUUGGCCACAAAAACACUAGCGCCAGUCAGUUUAUGUUUACAACGGGCAACAUAUCUAAAUCGAAGGUUAAGUAGUGCGAGUAAUUCAGAUUUUAAAAGACUCCAAAAGCUUGAAACAUGAAAAUUGAUGCGAGAAGCACAUGUGAUGGACAUAGCGGUUGACGUUUUAACACACACCAGGGGUAACAAGAGAAAGAACCGCACCAAAAAGAGUUAGCUUCUAUUUCUUACCCGGUAUUCCAAACGCGACAAUAACAGGAUAGUAUAUGCUCGCUAUGUAGUAAAUUGCUGAAUAUCCCAUUUUCCAUCCGAAGCAGCGAAUUUGGAUAAUGCGCUAAGUCCUUUCAUCCACUGGUGUUUGGUUUCGAGCCCUAUUAUACAAUCAGGGCACGUUGACUGUGACAAUUAGUGCGACCGUCACUUCAGUCACCUCAGACACUUUCCACUGAACAAAUAACCCGUCAACAACUUUCCCUCAUUGCAUCAUCGUACAGUGAAUUUGGCACCUCAAUGGAUGUUGCAAACAAUUAUUAUUUUUAGAUUUGUUAUGACUCUACUCCGACUGUAAUAGUACAAACAUCGAUUUUAUACAGGGAUAUAGAAGAUUAAAUGUGAUUUAAUUCAGGACGAGGAUCACAUUUGACAAGCGCAAUUACUUUUAGUGUCACUUGCAAAACUAAGAAAGGGGUAUUACUUUGUUGGAUGAGGUAGAGUAGUUCUGGAUCGGAUAAUUCAUAGCGAUCUCUUGAAUUGCUGUUGAAUUGAGCGUCUGACCUUUACGUUCACAGGGAAGAGAUUUAGCACAGAUGUUGUCACCAUUUACCAAACUCUAAAUACAUAUAAAUGUGUAAUGUAAUUCGAUGAAUAUAUUGCAUAUGAUCCUUCAAACUAGCUGUGGUUACUAUGAAAGUUGGGUGAUAGAUUGGGUGAAUCAAAUUGUCAGGGGUGCUGAGGAAGAGGAUUUCUUGGAAUGGAUUCGGGAUAGUUUUCUAAACCAACAUGUAGAGGAACCAACGAGAGAGCAGGCUAUUCUGGGGGGCAGUGUUAGCUGUGGGGAGGAUGCAAUAUAAAUGCUGCAGCUCUGCUUCAAAUACCAUUAUCCCUUCCAAGCUUAUCUCCAAACUCGUAGAAACAGGAUUUAGCACAUCCCUCUACAACUGCACCCUAUACAUCCAGGCCACAAUUAGAGAGGCUACGUGACAAGUUGUGCUCUACGAUAAUUUUCAACGCUGCUGCUUUAAAAUGAUGCGUCUGUCGCCCCCUACUAUGCUACUUCUAGACUUAUGACUGCAGCAAACUACUACUGCAACUCACUUUCCGAGUUCGCAGCCGACACCACCGCAGUGGCUCCUAUAUUUAUUUAUUAAUGUAUUUAUUUUAUUAUUUAUUUCGAACAAAAUAAAAGAAUAAAAAGCAAGUGUGAAACAGCAUACAAAAAAAAAACAAAACCAGAAUAUUUAUAAUGUGUCAUAAACAAUAUCAAUAAAAUUAAUGAAAUCGUAUGUGUCCGAAAAGGAGCAGGAAGAAGCCAAAGCUCAUUAAUUCCCACCCCUUAUUCAACUGUUUGUAAUAAUCUUAUACAAAUUUCGCAGCUAUAUGUACACCAUAUGUACACCAGCCACUAUAUGUACACCAAAUUAUUUACAUUUAUACACUAAUCACAUGUUAA